rnacentral:piRNA from 1 species
UUUAUAAGUUCAUGAUCACCUCAGUUGGUA